rnacentral:rRNA from 1 species
GAUGAACGCUGGCGGCGUGCCUAAUACAUGCGAGUCGAGCGAACAGACGAGGAGCUUGCUCCUCUGACGUUAGCGGCGGACGGGUGAGUAACACGUGGAUAACCUACCUAUAAGACUGGGAUAACUUCGGGAAACCGGAGCUAAUACCGGAUAAUAUAUUGAACCGCAUGGUUCAAUAGUGAAAGACGGUUUUGCUGUCACUUAUAGAUGGAUCCGCGCCGCAUUAGCUAGUUGGUAAGGUAACGGCUUACCAAGGCAACGAUGCGUAGCCGACCUGAGAGGGUGAUCGGCCACACUGGAACUGAGACACGGUCCAGACUCCUACGGGAGGCAGCAGUAGGGAAUCUUCCGCAAUGGGCGAAAGCCUGACGGAGCAACGCCGCGUGAGUGAUGAAGGUCUUCGGAUCGUAAAACUCCGUUAUUAGGGAAGAACAAAUGUGUAAGUAACUAUGCACGUCUUGACGGUACCUAAUCAGAAAGCCACGGCUAACUACGUG